AUGAACUGCACAGGCUUCUUAAUCAUCCACGGUGUAAAGACACACUUCAAGAGGAUCUUUAGAAGUGUUGGACAAGCUUCACCACGCGUGGCAGAGCCAUCCAACCUGUUCUUCCCAGUGUUAAAGAACUUGCCUGCCGAUGCAGGAGACAAAAGAGAUCUCAGAAGAUCCCCUGGAGGAGGGCGUGGCAAUCCGUUUCAGUGUUCUUGCCUGGGAAAUCCCAUGAACAGAGGAGCCUAGCAGUCCAUAGGGUUGCAAAGAGUUGGACAUGACUGAAAUGACUUACUACGCAUGCAGCCAGUUCUUAGGACUUUAAAAAAAUUUUUGGUUUUGGUCUAGCCCUUUUCUUUGGAAUUUCAUGCCUAUUCAAUGAAGGUGCCUUAAUUGAAUCUCCUAGUUUAACAUCUGAUCAUUUAAGCUCCACUAGGUGUGAUCACUGACCUAGAGCCAGACAUCCUGGAAUGUGAAGUCAAGUGGGCCUUAGAAAGCAUCACUAUGAACAAAGCUAGUAGAGGUGAUGGAAUUCCAGUUGAGCUAUUCCAAAUCCUGAAAGAUGAUGCU
rnacentral:lncRNA from 1 species